rnacentral:rRNA from 1 species
UACGUAGGGACCGAGCGUUGUCCGGAAUCAUUGGGCGUAAAGAGCGUGUAGGCGGCCACUUAAGUCCUGCGUGAAAUCUUGCGGCUCAACCGCAAGCGGUCGUGGGAAACUGGGUGGCUAGAGUGCGGGAGAGGAGAGUGGAAUUCCCAGUGUAGAGGUGAAAUUCGUAGAUAUUGGGAAGAACACCGGUGGCGAAGGCGGCUCACUGGCUCGUAUCUGACGCUCAGGCGCGACAGCGUGGGGAUCAAACAGG